rnacentral:rRNA from 1 species
UACGUAGGGGGCAAGCGUUGUCCGGAAUCAUUGGGCGUAAAGCGCGUGUAGGCGGUUCUGUAAGUCUGCUGUGAAAGUCCAGGGCUCAACCCUGGGAUGCCGGUGGAUACUGCAGGGCUAGAGUACGGAAGAGGCGAGUGGAAUUCCUGGUGUAGCGGUGAAAUGCGCAGAUAUCAGGAGGAACACCAAUGGCGAAGGCAGCACUCUGGGACGUGACUGACGCUGAGACGCGAAAGCGUGGGGAGCAAACAGG